CCUACGGGAGGCAGCAGUGAGGAAUAUUGGUCAAUGGGCGCGAGCCUGAACCAGCCAAGUAGCGUGAAGGAUGACUGCCCUACGGGUUGUAAACUUCUUUUAUAAAGGAAUAAAGUGAGGCACGUGUGCCUUUUUGUAUGUACUUUAUCAAUAAGGAUCGGCUAACUCCGUGCCACCAGCCGCGGUAAUACGGAGGAUCCGAGCGUUAUCCGGAUUUAUUGGGUUUAAAGGGGGCGGAGAUGGGUUGUUAAGUCAGUUGUGAAAGAUUGCGGCUCAACCGUACAAUUGCAAUUGAUACUGGCAGCCUUGAGUACAGUUGAGGUAGGCGGAAUUCGUGGUGUAGCGGUGAAAUGCUUAGAUAUCACGAAGAACUCCGAUUGCGAAGGCAGCCUACUAGACUGCAACUGACAUUGAUGCUCGAAAGUGUGGGUAUCAAACAGGAUUAGAUACCCGGGUAGUC
rnacentral:rRNA from 1 species